rnacentral:rRNA from 1 species
UGGGUAAUCUUGUGAAACUUCAUCGUGAUGGGGAUAGAGCAUUGCAAUUAUUGCUCUUCAACGAGGAAUCCCUAGUAAGCAUGAGUCAUCAGCUCAUGCUGAUUACGUCCCUGCCCUUUGUACACACCGCCCGUCGCUACUACCGAUUGAAUGGCUUAGUGAGACCCUCGGAUUGAUAAGUGGAAACCUUCACAGGUAUCCUUUUGUUGAGAAGUUGGUCAAACUUGGUCAUUUAGAGGAAGUAAAAGUCGUAACAAGGUAGCCGUAGGUGAACCUGCGGAAGGAUCAUU